ensembl:lncRNA
AUGGCCUUACACAGCACCCUUUUGCAUUGCAUUGCAUUGCAUCACACCCAGUUUGCAGUGCAUCCCAUCCAGUUGCAUCCCAUUGCAUUGCAUUGCAUUGAAUCUCAUUGCAUCCCAUCUCAUUGCAUUGCACCCAUCUUGCAUUGCCUUGCAUUGCAUUGCAUUGCAUUGUGUCGUAUUGCAUUGCAUUGCAUUGCAUUGCAUUGCUUUGCUUUGCUUUGCUUUGCAACCCAUUGCAUUGCACUCCUUUGCACCCAGCUUGCAUUGCAUCCCAUUGCAUUGCACACAGUUUGCAUUGCUUUGCAUUGUAUGCCAUUGCAUUGCAUUGCAUUGCAUUGCAUUGCACACUAUUGCAUUGCAUUGCACCCAUCUUGCUUUGCAUUGCAUUGUAUUGCGUUGCAUUGCAUUGCCUUGCAAGAUAUUGUAUUGCUUUGCUUUGCAUUGGGUUGCAUUGCUUCUCAUCCCAUUCCAUUGCAUUGCAUUGCUUUGCAUUGCAUUGCUUUGCUUUGCAACCUAUUGCAUUGCAUUGCAUUGCAUUGCAUCCUAUUGCUUUGCUUUGCAACCUAUUGCAUUGCAUUGCAUUGCAUUACAUUGCACUUAGCUUGCAUUGCAUUGCACGUGGCUUGCUUUGCUUUGCAUUGCAUUGCAUUGAAUCCCAUUGCACCCUAUUGCAUUGCUUCUCAUCCCAUUCCAUUCCAUUGCAUUGCAUUGCAUUGCAUUGCAUUGCAUCUCAUUGCCUUGCAUCCUAUUGCAUUGCAUUGCAACCUCUUGCAUUGCACUCCUUUGCACAUAGGUUGCAUUGCAUCCCAUUGCAUUGCACCCAUCUUGCAUUGCAUUGCAUUGCAUUGCAUUGUGUCCUAUUACAUUGCAUUGCAUUGCAUUGUAUUGCUUUGCUUUGCAACCUAUUGCAUUGCAUCUCAUUGCAUCCCUUUGCAUUGCAUCACAUCACCUUGCAUUGCAUUGCAUUGCAUUGCAUUGCACCCACUUUGCUUUGCAUUGCUUUGCAUUGCAACUCAUCCCCUUGCAUUGCACCUGGCAGGCCUGGCGUCCGGUUUGCAAGGGCAUCCCAUUGCAUUGCAUCACACCCACUUUGCAUUGCAUCCCAUUGCAUUGCAUUGCAUUGACUCUCAUUGCAUCCCACAUCAUUGCAUUGCACCCAUCUUGCAUUGCCUUGUAUUGCAUUGCAUUGCAUUGCUUUGCUUUGCUUUGCAACCCAUUGCAUUGCGCUCCUUUGCACCCAGCUUGCAUUGCAUCCCAUUGUAUUGCAUUGCAUUGCAUUGCACCCAGCUUGCAUUGCAUUGCAACCCAUUGUAUUGCUUUGCUUUGCUUUGCAUUGAAUCCCAUUGCACCCUAUUGCAUUGCUUUGCAACCUAUUGCAUUGCAUUGCAUCCCAUUGCAUCCCAUUGCAUCCCGUUGCAUUGCAACUCAUUGCAUUGCAUCCCAUUGCAUUGCAUCACACCCACUUUGCAUUGCAUUGCAUUGCAUUGCAUCCGAUUGCAUUGCAUCUCAUCCCUUUGCAUUGCACCUUGCAGGCCUGGCGUCCGGUUUGCAAGGUCAGAGCGUGUCGUCGGGCAGCUCGGAGCUGAAAUCGGACGAUGA